rnacentral:rRNA from 1 species
AAAUUGAAGAGUUUGAUCAUGGCUCAGAUUGAACGCUGGCGGCAGGCCUAACACAUGCAAGUCGAACGGUAACAGGAAUCAGCUUGCUGAUUUGCUGACGAGUGGCGGACGGGUGAGUAAUGUCUGGGAAACUGCCUGAUGGAGGGGG